rnacentral:sRNA from 1 species
CGACUGCUUGCGCCCCAUCUGCGCAGGCCAAGGCCAUACGGACAGCCGAGUCGAAUGCCGA